UCUGUUUCACAUCACGAAUGUUAGUUUCACAAAUCCGCAUUUCACAUCAGAUAUAGCAGUUUGACAUAUCUAUUUCGAUUUCGGUACAACAAUAUCACAUAUAUCACACAAUCUGCUAUACAUCUUCCCAUCGAUUUCAAUUAGACACCUUCAUUUCCAUCAAAUAUAACAGUUCAAUAUAUCACACAAGCAGGGGAGUUGUCCAUCUAGUGAAGAAGCAAGGGGGGAUCUCAAAACAUGUACCAUAAAACAAAAAUCAGGAAGUAAACACAGAGAUAAAGAUAUUAGGGGAGUUGUGCUUACUCGGGGGUGGAGGCAUAUGGUCGUGGGCUUCAUGACUCACCAGAUCCGGUGGCAGUCAUUCUUGGAUUCGCCGGAUCCGGUGACGACCCUGCUCGUCGAACCGUCGUGCUAGGUGGCUGCUGUGGAGGAAUAACGUCGGAGCAGGUCUCCCCAACGCCAGCGCCCACGGCAAGGCGGGGUCAGGAGGUUAGGACCGACGGACUUUGUCGGUCCUAGAGGAGAGGUGGCGGCGAUAUAUGGAUGUUA
rnacentral:lncRNA from 1 species